UACGGAGGGUGCAAACGUUGCUCGGAAUCAUUGGGCGUAAAGCGCACGUAGGCGGCCCAGCAAGUCGGGUGUGAAAGCCCUCGGCUUAACCGAGGAAGUGCAUUCGAAACUACUGAGCUUGAAUACUGGAGAGGAUCGCGGAAUUCCCGGUGUAGAGGUGAAAUUCGUAGAUAUCGAGAGGAACACCGGUGGCGAAGGCGGCCUUCUGGACAGUGACUGACGCUGAGACGCGAAAGCGUGGGGAGCAAACAGG
rnacentral:rRNA from 1 species